CCAAAGCAACCCUGCAAAGCCACGCGAGGUUAGGAGGCAAAUAUCCGUUCCGAAAUCUUUCUUUCGUUCUCAAGCAGUCGUCCCGACCAGACAGAAAAUGAGAGCUAAGUGGCGUAAGAAGCGUAUGCGUAGGUUGAAGCGUAAGCGCAGAAAGAUGCGUGCAAGGUCCAAGUAAUCGCAGCGCCAUCGCCCACUAAAUGGAACUCUUGAUUGAUGCUAAACACACCGAAACGAAAACGCCGACUACUGGGUCACCCUCUUGCAUAAAAGGGCCCGAAUGUAAUUUAGCAAAUGUGCAUUUAAAAUUCACGUUUCCCUUCACGUAAAAUUGAUUCAAAUAAAUUACUGGAUUUUCGCCAAGGUUCCACGAGAAAAA